rnacentral:lncRNA from 1 species
UUCACAACACCAAACAACUCUCCUCUCUCCCUCUAGAAAGCUCACGGCCAAACAUCCCUAAUCACCCAUCAAUUUUUCGAGCCUUGUUCAAGCCAUUCCAAGCAUACCCAAGCAUCAAGGAUCACGUAUUAGGAGGCUUGGUGCACUCGGAGCACGAAGGACCUUUUUCUCUAGCUUUUAUCCACCACAUUCGCGUCUAGAUUCUUCCCUAGCCUCGAGCUAGUGGUUACGACGUUAAAUAAGCAAACCGGUGAAGUUUACGACGCACAGGAACGCAAAGUUGUAACUAGGAUGGAUGUGCGCGUGGUCUCUCUUAUGCUCGUGGAUGUCGCUUGUUUAUGGUAUUUGA